AUGGCAUUCAAAUAAAGAGCCUCUCAAGCUCGGUCUAGAAUAUUUAUCAAAGAAGAGUUAGAAGAGGGGCGAGAGGAGAUGGCAUGUGCAACCAGAGCUUCACUGCUGCUCUGCGAUAAAGCUUGAGCACAGGCAUAUGGCUACACUUGUGGACUGGUUGCUACAAUUCAAAUACUUAGGCUUCUUAGGCCUUCCCUUUACAUAAGGUCCUAUAUCUGAAUGCAGGUCUCAAGCAUGGCUUAAAAUCACAACCUUUUGGCACCCUCCUAUUGUUGGCUGGACAAAAACAAAUGGUGAUGGGGCUUUCAGUUCUGGGCCCGGGGAAGCGGCCUAUGGAUCCAUUGCUUGUGAUCACCAGGGCCGAUUCUACCCAAACGCAGCUAAUGCCCUCUCUAUGGAGGCUCAUGCUAUUCGAGGUGUGAUUCUGGCCAGGGAUAAGAAGUUUCAGAAAGUGAUUAUUGAAACUGAUUCUCUGAUGCUGUCAAAGCUGCUGAACAAUGGUAACUUUAAGCGUUCAGAAAUUGCACCUAUUCUCUAUGAUGUAGUGGAGCUUA